GCGCCUCUAGCGGCUGUCAGGAAGACAGCCACUAGAGGCUGGAUUAAACCUGCAAUGUAAACAUAGCAGUUUCUAUGAAACUGCUAUGUUUACAUGUGAAGGGUUAAAACCUGGGAGACCUGGCACCCAGACCACUUAAUUGAGCUGAAGUGGUCUGGGUGACUAUAGUGUCUGUAACGGACCGUUUUGCACACAAGAGGUUAAAAACCGUUUAGGCAAUAUUCUCCUUUCAGAUGCACAGGCAGCUACUGCAAUCACCAAUCUCCCGAACUGCAAAGACACGAAUUCUCCAACUCCCAAACUGGAACAAUACGAAUCCUCCAACUCCCGAACAGGAAACACAUGAAUGCUGUUAAACAGCCGAACAGGAAAAACCAUAAGAAGAGUUUACACUCCUGGCAGUCGCACUGUAACAGCAUACAAUCCAAUUCCCCCCAAGAACGAGACAACACUUCGUUUGUAGGGUCAAGCAGAACUAAUUUACUGGGGCUACCUGCC